GGUGUUUUUGUUAUGGUAACUUUUUUUUUUUUGGAAAGCAUAUAUCAAAUUCUUUUAGCCUGUUUCAUAAUCGUAAUUAUUCCGUUUCCACAUUGAAAAAGAGUUUUAAUGCAUUUAUUUCAUUGUUAUAGUGUGAGAAUAUACAUUUAUUUAUUACUUUGUAGGUUCUAGGAUUGAUUUUUCCCUAAAGCAUGGAUAUUAAAAAAAGCUUUUUGAAAACAAAUGCAUUUAUUAACAGCAUUAAAAAAACAUUUUACCAAAAAACUACAACAGUAAUUUCUGGACUAUAAAUCGCGUUUUUUUUUUCAUAGUUUUGGGAUUGACAACAGGACGAUGUAGAAAAAGACAAAAUUUCAACGUUUCAACAUUGUACUAUGAUAAUGUUUUCUUUUCUCUGGACACAUCAGGACCUACAAAGAGUAUACAGCAUUAAUGCAAAUUUUAUCAUUGGGGUCAUGAGCAGAUGUAUCAAAAGUAUUCACAUUGACUACUCAAGUAUAGAUAAUGAGAUUGAAACAUGAUUUAAAAUCAGUUGAAGUAGCUAGCUUUUUACUCAACUGUAAAAGUAUUGGUAACUAUUUGAAAUGUAAAAAUUAUGCAAGGAGAAAAAAUACAACGAACUGGAAGCCGUCAAACAUAGUUACACAAAUAAAUUAGGUGUCUGGUUACAAUUUUUAUUGUUUUGAUGCAGCCGUCAACUCAAAUCCACAUUUUCAAAACAGUUAACACAGAGGGCUAAACAUGCCACAGUGGUCAAAAUGACACAUUUUGUUUGCAAAAGGCUCUAACUGUGCCAAAAUAUUUAAAAUAUGAAACAAAAGCACAAAUGAGCAACUCCAAUAAAUAAUAAAUAAUCAUUACCCAAUGGGCAACAAAAUACUGCACUCGUGUGAAUCAGUGCACCAUUGCUUGUCAUCGCAGCCUAUACGUAUACAGCUUACAUUGCAGCUUAUACACAGCUUACAUGCAGUCAAAUGUGCCCUCUUGCAAAAAAUGCAUCAAGAAUCAGAUAGGCUUUUUUUUCUGACUGUGGCUGACAAAUGAAAUAUUCACACAGAGAAUACGUGGAAAAAAUACAUUAUUGUGUGAGAAAUUAGGAAAGUAAAAAAAAAGAAAAAAGUAUUUUACAAUAAAGAACAGAAAUCUAUAGUAGGCCUAUACUAUAAGAGUACAAGAGAUAGCCACAAAUGAUAUUCGUGUGUCUCUUCUGAGCCCUUCCGGCUAGACUUCCACCUCGCGCACACACUCCUCUUCCUCUGACUUCUCUACCUCUUACUCUCACUCUACCUCUCAUCUGUCUUAGACCUCCUCGAUCCAUGCUUGCAAAAAACAACACAGGCUUGAAGACUGAUAUCAAAUUGAAACAUUUUGUGAAGUGUCAGACAGGUGCUUUUAAUGAUUGCAUACUGAUCAGGGAGUUUCUACGAGCUCGGAGCAUAUGGUUUCUGUUUCGGAAGUGCGGCUAAAACAAUGGAGUUUGGACUUGAAUUACAUCUGUGUUAACUGUUUUGCAAAAGGGUGGGAAAAUUGUGUCAAUCCAAUGACAAUGGGUUACAUAUUUGCAUGAGCCAUCUUCACCUCAACUGAGAUGGUGAUGAUGAAGACUGAGAGGUUCCCAGUUUCUUCAAACAGGUCAAAGCAAUCAAUAAAAACUGUAACACUGCUUGACACGCCCACUCGCCCAAGCUGUCGGAAGCGAAGAUGAAAAAGCUCUUGUAUGCAAGAGUUUUUUUUUUUUUUUUUUACGACUUACAAGACAAGUUAGGAUAGUCACGCCGGAGUGCCUGGGAGAGCGGAGGCUUCGUGGCCGUUUGUCUGCCGUCGAUCAUCGGACGCAAAGUAUGGCUGCGGAUCAAGAGGUGGUUAGGUGGCACCCAUGCUGACAGCGGCUAUCUGGAUUCUCGUGGGUUAAUUCAGGAUGGGGGAACUGCAGCUCAACCUCCUCGUAGACACUGCCAGGACAAUUGAGGGCUCCUUCGGCAGACCUCUGCUCUGACAUGGACAUCCACUUUUUAUUUCAUUGAUGUUCAUGUUGUAUCAUUUGUGCCCUCUCUGCAUCCAUUCCAACCUGGUGAUCCUGAAAGGGGGAUCCUUCCAUCUGUGGUCCCUUCUCAAGGUUUCUUAUUUUCCCCCAGUAGGGGUUUUUAAGUUUUUCCUUGCCCUUUUGGGAGCUUAAGAUCAGGGGAUGCUUUGAGAAUAAUUGUCAAUUUCUGUCUAUGUGAAGCCCUUUGAGACUGCUUGUGAUUUAGGGCUAUACAAAUAAACUUGACUUGUACGCAUGUGUUCAGUGUUUCCGGUGAAGCAUUUACCUUGAAGUUCCAGACACAAGUGGCGUGUCGUUGCUCGACCAAUCUUCGGGCAACUUGAUGUAUUAAGCGUUGAGAAGAGGGUAGGAAAGCGUAGAAGAGAGGCAAAAUUAAGAUUGCUUCCU